ACGUCGUCGGGGUUGACCCUCAUGCCGUGCGACACGCCCGUGAUGUGUGGGCCCCACGCCGGCACGUCUGUGGGUGGGGAGCAUGGGGCGCUGAACACGGGCGAGGAUAAGUGCUGAACAGUAAGGCGGAAAGCAUGCAGUAUAUCCAGCUGGCACUUGGUUCUACGUCCCCUUCGGCAGGAACAGACUAACGAGGACUCACCAACAACCGUCAUAUUCUGGGCGUGGUCGUCGGUCUCGAAGUAGGGCUUGUCGCCGAGGACUUCGCAGCGGGAACACCUUCAUGGCUGGACUUCUACCGGGAAGGUAUUCGUAGAACUGGUCUACGCCACGAUACCACUUGACGGAGUAGAGAGCCUGGGGAAGCUCUUCGCUGUGUUCAUAGCUGCACGUCA